GUGAGGAAUUUUCCGCAAUGGGCGAAAGCCUGACGGAGCAAUGCCGCGUGAAGGAUGAAGGCCUAUGGGUUGUAAACUUCUUUUCUUAGAGAAGAAUAUUGACGGUAUCUGAGUAAUAAGCAUCGGCUCACUCUGUGCCAGCAGCCGCGGUAAGACAGAGGAUGCAAGCGUUAUCCGGAAUGAUUGGGCGUAAAGCGUCUGUAGGUGGCUUCAAACGUCUCCUGUCAAAGAUCAGGGCUUAACCCUGGGCCGGCAGGAGAAACUGUGAGGCUAGAGUUUGGUAGGGGCAGAGGGAAUGCCCGGUGGAGCGGUGAAAUGCGUAGAGAUCGGGAGGAACACCAAAGGCGAAAGCACUCUGCUGGGCCACAACUGACACUGAGAGACGAAAGCGAGGGGAGCAAAAGGGAUUAGAAACCCGUGUAGUCC
rnacentral:rRNA from 1 species